rnacentral:lncRNA from 1 species
GAAAGCCAGAGGGAGGGCAGGAGGCCAAGAGAAGGGACGGGAGAAAACCCGAGCACACACGGGCCGCCGCAGCCUCUGAGCCUCGUCACACCCUCCUUUAAUCAGAAAGGGGGAACCACGCUCAGAGAGUUAACACGGCCAGCCCCCUCAGUGGUGUGGCCCAGCCAGGGUCCGGACGUGGACUUGGUCAGGACCCAGCUCUGAAGCUACCUCUCAGUCCCUUCCCUUUCUGAGCAGCCAGGAGGCUGAGCUGACUCCACGGAGGCCCACGGGGACCCCCUCCCCUGAACGUCAGGAGCCUCCUGGGGUCAACUCUGCUGUCUGCACUGAAUCAGACCAGGUAGCCCCGGCUCUGCACCCUGGCCCUCCGCUCGGCCACCAGCCAUCUGCAUUUCCUCCUCAGCCCUUGGACCCGUUGAAAGUCUCAUUUUCCUUUUAUCACAUUUCACACUUUUAAGGACACUGGGCUCACACCCUGGCACCCCAAGAGCUUCACUGCCUGACCCUGCCGACCACCCUUAUCUGUUGGAUCCCAGCAAGGAUUGGAGGCACUUCCCUCUGCGCAGGUGAAGGAGCUGGAGCCCAGGGAGGCCAAGUGUCUCCACAGCACGUCCUGCCGGGAUCAGGGCUAUCCACCCCUGGUGACACAGCACUGCAUGGUGGCCCUGCCAACGGGGGAGAAGGGAGGCACCCUGGGUCUAGGCCGCCGCCUGCAGGUGGUCACACUUGGGCUGUGGAUUAGAUGCAGGUGGUCACACUUGGGCUGUGGAUUAGAUGCAGGUGGUCACACUUGGGCUGUGGAUUAGAUGUCAUGGGAACGAGCCGCACACUCCAGGUGUCCUGCCUCAGCAGCAGGACUUCAAAAUCCUUCGCCUGGUGUUGAAAGGGAGGAGAGAGGAGUAAGAGGCUGAAGUGGCACCGACUUUAUUUUUAGGAACUGCACCAUGACAUUGAAAAAAUGCAUGUCUCCAGAGUCCCCCGUGGGGAAGAGCAAUCCCGCCUCCAAACCGCGUGAAGCCAAGGCAGCCGCCAAGUGCCAGUGACUCAGAGGAACCCCCGGGGGUGGGAUUUGAUGGGGAGCAGGAGCUACUGGGGGAUUUUCAAUGCAAUGACAAGUUCGCUGCUCAUGCGGAGUGGCACCCUCUGGAAGAUCCGCCCUCUCCAGAGCUUUCCAAAUCAUUUGCAAUGCAGUAGAGGGACAGUGAGGGCCGGGGUGGCCAGACCACACAGGGCAGAGCCCGCCCUGCUCUGGGGCGGGUAGAGGGCGGUGGACAGGACUUGCAGGUGUCGACCAGGCUAGGCCAAGGCCACUGCAGCCCUGUGCUGAGCUGCAGCACGACAGGAACGCAGGCUGUUUCCUCCCGAGCACCCUGCACGCCUCUGCGCGGGCUCAGGCCCAGCCCUGGUGGUGUUGUUACCGCUGUUGGCCCGUGACGAGUCCUUGCUUCCCCGAUGUUGAAGAAUAACACCAGAAAAGCACGCCGAGGCAAGGUCAGAGUAGAAAUUAUUUAUUUAGUUUAUUAAAGGACAGCAGAAAAGACGACUUCUCCCGGAGGAAGAAGGGGACCCAAGAGGUGGAAUCCGGUUGGCGGGCAAAUGUGUUCCCCUUUUUAUAGGUUUGGUGAUGGAAUGCAAGGGGGAAGGGUUAGGACACGGGUGGGCCAAACGGGCAGGAAGGACUCAAUUAUCACUUUUUGGGAUGGGCUUAUCACUUCUUUGGGAUGGGCUGUCUCCAAAUCUGUUGGGGGAUGUUUCCUGGGCUCCAUUAACAUUUCUUUGGGAUGGAUUUUGGCCUAGGGCCUUUCCGGGACUUCAUUAACAUUCCAUGAGCUGUCCUGCGUUUCCCGGAAUCAUUGUCAGCAUGGCCUCCAUUUUAGAUUUCCCUCGAUAUUAGACCCGAUUUACCUAACUACACUGACUGUCUCACUUUAAAUCUGGCUUCAGUGUGUCCAGCAGGCCUGCUUCCCUGGACUCCUUCAGAGCCCCUGCCUCCGGGCCCCUGCAGUCCCCAUCUCUGCUUUCUGCGCAGUACUCCCAACUCUCAGCUUCCUGAACAAACCUGCCGCAACUCUGCUUCCAGCCCCCCGUCUUGUUGGCCAACGUGGGAGUGAGUGGGAGUGACCCGUGUCCCUUGGGGCUGGACAGGGUACAUCACGGCAGAGCCCUGACUGGCCGUGGAGCAUGCCACGGGAGGUGGAGCCCCCGCAGCCUACCAGUGAUCUGCGUGGCAGGAGGGUGAUGAGGAAGCUGUCACCAAAGGUGGCAGUUCCUGCCCAUUAGGGAGGUGGCCCAUUUAGAGCAGGGGUCAACCGCCAGCCCUGGGGAGGCAGAUCGCAGUCCCGAGGAAACCUGGCCCCAGGGCGAUGGUGGAGGCUGGGCCUUACAGCGUGUGUUUGUGGGACUCGUGGGAAAAGUGAUGGAGAACAGUUGCCUGGUCAGCGAGUAGGGACCAAGGGGUGACACAUGGAGGGACUUCUCAAACAGGACAGCAACGUGAUGAAAUGCACAACACCCAGGCCUUCUCAGAAUGCAAUGGAGGCCUGGCCUCGUGUCCAUUUCCACAAUAUCCCAGUGGGUCAAGAUGGCCCCCGUGAGCCGUGCCGGGGCCAGGAGACUGAGGGCGGCCUCCCCUGCCAGCUCCACUGGCCGCAGAGGCCUGCCAUUCCAGCUCACUAACAGGAGCGGCAUUCAGAGGGGGCCCUGUCCACGGUGCUGUGAGCCUGGAAGAGAACAGCGUGUCCUCGGAAGCUCUGCGCAGUCGCUGUGAACCGGGUCACUAAACAGGCCCCUGCCACUCCCUGAGCCCCUCUUCUCGAGGGCUCUGUGAAUCAGCACGUGACCUCGGUGGUGAGCGCCGCACUUCAAGCUGCCUGUGCUCAACGUGUGCUGCUGGGUCACGGACAGGAACCGCUUCUCCGACGCGUGUUUUCUCUGCAGAGCACUGGCUACGCACGGGCUGCUUGAACGGCAAAAUGUGGGGAAAUGCAGCACCAAGUGCGUAUCUGGUGACCGCCCGCCACCCUGCCCUCCAGGCUGGCUGAGCUGGCAGCGUCCCCGCUGCUCCACCAUUGCAUGUGAAAUGGGGGGAGGGGACGAACAACUGUGCUCCCCAGCAGGACUGGAUCCCCAGUCCUACUGCAGAUGGCAGGGCAUCAGCUCUGUGAGGAGAGCUUGCACAGGCCUGCAGGGGGCUUCCUGGGGAGGGAGGGAAGGAGCUGCCAGCCGCUCGCCCUGGGCAGCUGCAUGGACACGGAGAGCUGCUCCGCCUCUGCUUCCCGCCCUGGGAACAUGGCAGCUCCCGCAGGCGGGUCCUGGGAAACAGGCUCUGGAUGGCGUCUGGCAGGCAGGAUGUUUAUCAGGAAGUUCCCUGGAGGUCACAGCCACAGAAGGCAGCAGCAGAGGACCACAGCUGGGGGCUCCUGAGAGAUCAGAGAGAAGCAGCCCGCCCAGGCCUGUCCGGUGCCACCUCUGUGGUGGGAGCAUCACUGCUAGACAGCCCUUGUGGCUCCUGACCCCUCCGUGCACCCCUCCCACGCCGCCACCACACCUCUGUCCCCGUUGUCACUCUCAGCGUGGUCACUCAGUGUCCUGUGACAUCACUGCAGUCGCCUCUGUCUCCAAUGUGGACAGUGGACGGCGUCCCCCCGUGGCUCUCCUUAAAGGGCAGCCUGUGGGGCUGUGCACGGCGUUCAGGCUGGACGGGCCCCACAGAGGGAGGCGCCCAGCCGUAAGCCGG